rnacentral:lncRNA from 1 species
GUCGUAAAAAUUUUCUAUGGUCACAUUUUUAUAUGUUAGCCUUUUAAUGAGGUACCCCUCAAUUUACGGUCUUUGGUAGUCACUUUAAAAUCCAAAAAUAAAUAUUUUUGUUAAACUUCCCGCUAUUUUCGUAUAUAUUUUCGAGGCACAUAUCAUCAAGGAUCAUCGGAAUGAUGAAGACAUAUAUAUCAUACCAUCCCCGAGUAAAACUUUCAAACUUAAAGAUGGCUGUUUUUCAGAUGGAAAUUUAACGCGUUUUUCUUUGAAAACGAGAAAACAUAUGAUUCAAAACAGUAUUUGACAUUUGAGAGGACAACAUAUAUUAUUGCGAUACUGCAUGCAAAUUUUGUUGGGCAAAUUUGAAACAAUUUUGUCAAAAACUCAAAAAUAAAAAUAUUAUUUGUACCUUUUUUAAUUACGGAAUUUCCUAUCCGUCAAUCAGCUCCACCA